rnacentral:rRNA from 1 species
UACGUAGGGACCAAGCGUUGUUCGGAUUUACUGGGCGUAAAGGGCGCGUAGGCGGCCACCGCAAGUCGACUGUGAAAUCUCCGGGCUUAACCCGGAAAGGUCAGCCGAUACUGCGGGGCUAGAGUGCAGAAGGGGCAACUGGAAUUCUCGGUGUAGCGGUGAAAUGCGUAGAUAUCGAGAGGAACACCUGCGGCGAAGGCGGGUUGCUGGGGCUGACACUGACGCUGAGGCACGAAAGUGUGGGGAUCAAACAGG